rfam:Triticum aestivum genome assembly, contig: Triticum_aestivum_CS42_TGACv1_scaffold_224706_3B
AAGUUACUCCCUCCGUCCCAAAAUUCUUGUCUUAGAUUUGUCUAGAUAUGGAUGUAACGGUACAUCCGUAUCUAGACAAAUCUAAGACAAGAAAUUUGGGACAAAGGGAGUAGUUG